rnacentral:misc_RNA from 1 species
CCGUCCACAUUUGGAAGGACAGCUGCAAAGCAAAAGAAAUUCAAAGAUACUCCACAUAAAACAGGGGAACAAUAAUAAAUAAGGUUGAACUUAUUGAGAACAACAUGCUGAAAAUUGAUGGAAUCGUCUCAAUACAUUCAUGUUAUACUAGCAGUUUGUACCAUGUUCUCAGUAUUGGAGACAAGGAUUGUUUUUGACAGUGAAUCAUCCCCGAUGUUCUUGCUGAGAGCUAUUAUUGUGUAUUUGUGUGAUAGAUUUUACUUGAUUAAGAAAACUCAACUCAACUCAACUCAAUUAAGCCUUUAUCCCAAAAAUUUGAGGUCGGCUAUAUGGAUUCGCUUUC